GAUGAACGCUGGCGGCGUGCCUAAUACAUGCAAGUCGAGCGAACAGACGAGGAGCUUGCUCCUUUGACGUUAGCGGCGGACGGGUGAGUAACACGUGGAUAACCAACCUAUAAGACUGGGAUAACUUCGGGAAACCGGAGCUAAUACCGGAUAACAUGUUGAACCGCAUGGUUCAACAGUGAAAGACGGUCUUGCUGUCACUUAUAGAUGGAUCCGCGCCGCAUUAGCUAGUUGGUAAGGUAACGGCUUACCAAGGCAACGAUGCGUAGCCGACCUGAGAGGGUGAUCGGCCACACUGGAACUGAGACACGGUCCAGACUCCUACGGGAGGCAGCAGUAGGGAAUCUUCCGCAAUGGGCGAAAGCCUGACGGAGCAACGCCGCGUGAGUGAAGAAGGUCUUCGGAUCGUAAAUCUCUGUUAUUAGGGAAGAACAAAUGUGUAAGUAACUAUGCACGUCUUGACGGUACCUAAUCAGAAAGCCACGGCUAACUACGUG
rnacentral:rRNA from 1 species